ACUUACCUAAUAUAACCAGUAUACUUGACUUCCAAUCAAGAAGUUUGUGUCAACAAGAUAAGUA
rnacentral:tRNA from 1 species